rnacentral:rRNA from 1 species
AGUGAACGCUGGCGGUAGGCCUAACACAUGCAAGUCGAACGGCAGCACAGUAAGAGCUUGCUCUUACGGGUGGCGAGUGGCGGACGAGUGAGGAAUACAUCGGAAUCUACUUUUUCGUGGGGGAUAACGUAGGGAAACUUACGCUAAUACCGCAUACGACCUACGGGUGAAAGCAGGGGGUCUUCGGACCUUGCGCGAUUGAAUGAGCCGAUGUCGGAUUAGCUAGUUGGCGGGGUAAAGGCCCACCAAGGCGACGAUCCGUAGCUGGUCUGAGAGGAUGAUCAGCCACACUGGAACUGAGACACGGUCCAGACUCCUACGGGAGGCAGCAGUGGGGAAUAUUGGACAAUGGGCGCAAGCCUGAUCCAGCCAUACCGCGUGGGUGAAGAAGGCCUUCGGGUUGUAAAGCCCUUUUGUUGGGAAAGAAAAGCAGCAGGUUAAUACCCCGCUGUUCUGACGGUACCCAAAGAAUAAGCACCGGCUAACUUCGUG